GACGAACGCUGGCGGCGUGCUUAACACAUGCAAGUCGAACGGAAAGGCCCUGCUUUUGUGGGGUGCUCGAGUGGCGAACGGGUGAGUAACACGUGAGUAACCUGCCCUUGACUGUGGGAUAACUUCAGGAAACUGGGGCUAAUACCGGAUAGGAGCUCCUGCUGCAUGGUGGGGGUUGGAAAGCUUCGGCGGUUGGGGAUGGACUCGCGGCUUAUCAGCUUGUUGGUGGGGUAGUGGCUUACCAAGGCUUUGACGGGUAGCCGGCCUGAGAGGGUGACCGGCCACAUUGGGACUGAGAUACGGCCCAGACUCCUACGGGAGGCAGCAGUGGGGAAUAUUGCACAAUGGGCGGAAGCCUGAUGCAGCAACGCCGCGUGCGGGAUGACGGCCUUCGGGUUGUAAACCGCUUUCGCCUGUGACGAAGCGUGAGUGACGGUAAUGGGUAAAGAAGCACCGGCUAACUACGUG
rnacentral:rRNA from 1 species